rnacentral:rRNA from 1 species
AUGAACGCUGGCGGCGUGCCUAAUACAUGCAAGUCGAACGCAUAGCGAAAGGUGCUCGCACCUUUCAAGUGAGUGGCGAACGGGUGAGUAACACGUGGACAACCUGCCUCAAGGCUGGGGAUAACAUUUGGAAACAGAUGCUAAUACCGAAUAAAACUUAGUGUCGCAUGACACAAAGUUAAAAGGCGCUUCGGCGUCACCUAGAGAUGGAUCCGCGGUGCAUUAGUUAGUUGGUGGGGUAAAGGCCUACCAAGACAAUGAUGCAUAGCCGAGUUGAGAGACUGAUCGGCCACAUUGGGACUGAGACACGGCCCAAACUCCUACGGGAGGCUGCAGUAGGGAAUCUUCCACAAUGGGCGAAAGCCUGAUGGAGCAACGCCGCGUGUGUGAUGAAGGCUUUCGGGUCGUAAAGCACUGUUGUAUGGGAAGAACAGCUAGAAUAGGAAAUGAUUUUAGUUUGACGGUACCAUACCAGAAAGGGACGGCUAAAUACGUG